AGUGAACGCUGGCGGUAGGCCUAACACAUGCAAGUCGAACGGCAGCACAGUAAGAGCUUGCUCUUACGGGUGGCGAGUGGCGGACGGGUGAGGAAUACAUCGGAAUCUACUUUUUCGUGGGGGAUAACGUAGGGAAACUUACGCUAAUACCGCAUACGACCUACGGGUGAAAGCAGGGGAUCUUCGGACCCUGCGCGAUUGAAUGAGCCGAUGUCGGAUUAGCUAGUUGGCGGGGUAAAGGCCCACCAAGGCGACGAUCCGUAGCUGGUCUGAGAGGAUGAUCAGCCACACUGGAACUGAGACACGGUCCAGACUCCUACGGGAGGCAGCAGUGGGGAAUAUUGGACCAUGGGCGCAAGCCUGAUCCAGCCAUACCGCGUGGGUGAAGAAGGCCUUCGGGUUGUAAAGCCCUUUUGUUGGGAAAGAAAAGCAGCAGGUUAAUACCCCGCUGUUCUGACGGUACCCAAAGAAUAAGCACCGGCUAACUUCGUG
rnacentral:rRNA from 1 species